rnacentral:misc_RNA from 1 species
GACGUAGGAUCCGAGCGUUGUCCGGAGUUACUGGGCGUAAAGCGCGCGCAGGCGGUUACACGCAUCGGCGGUGAAAGCCCCCCGCUCAACGGGGGAGGGUCCGUCGUGAUGGUGUGACUGGAGGCAGGGAGAGGCCAGUGGAAUUCCGGGUGUAGUGGUGAAAUGCGUAGAGAUCCGGAGGAACACCAGUGGCGAAGGCGGCUGGCUGGACCUGACCUGACGCUGAGGCGCGAAGGCGUGGGGAGCAAACAGG